rnacentral:rRNA from 1 species
UUGCUGACGAGUGGCGGACGGGUGAGUAAUGUCUGGGAAACUGCCUGAUGGAGGGGGAUAACUACUGGAAACGGUAGCUAAUACCGCAUAACGUCGCAAGACCAAAGAGGGGGACCUUCGGGCCUCUUGCCAUCGGAUGUGCCCAGAUGGGAUUAGCUUGUUGGUGGGGUAACGGCUCACCAAGGCGACGAUCCCUAGCUGGUCUGAGAGGAUGACCAGCCACACUGGAACUGAGACACGGUCCAGACUCCUACGGGAGGCAGCAGUGGGGAAUAUUGCACAAUGGGCGCAAGCCUGAUGCAGCCAUGCCGCGUGUAUGAAGAAGGCCUUCGGGUUGUAAAGUACUUUCAGCGGGGAGGAAGGGAGUAAAGUUAAUACCUUUGCUCAUUGACGUUACCCGCAGAAGAAGCACCGGCUAACUCCGUGCCAGCAGCCGCGGUAAUACGGAGGGUGCAAGCGUUAAUCGGAAUUACUGGGCGUAAAGCGCACGCAGGCGGUUUGUUAAGUC